rnacentral:rRNA from 1 species
AGCUCCAAUAGCGUAUAUUAAAGUUGUUGCAGUUAAAAAGCUCGUAGUUGGAUUUCUGGGAGAGUGGCGAUGUCCGCUUAACGUGUGUGCAGCGACGCUCUUCCAUCCUUCUGUUAGCGUCUCUCGGCAUUCAUUUGUCGGUGGCGGGCUCAGAUAUUUUACCUUGAGAAAAUUAGAGUGUUUCAGGCAGGCUAGGCCGGAAUACAUUAGCAUGGAAUAAUGGAAUAGGACUACGGUCUCUUUGUUGGUUUGAGGGACUGCAGUAAUGAUUAAUAGGGAUAGUUGGGGGCAUUAGUAUUUAAUUGUCAGAGGUGGAAUUCUCAGAUUUGUUAAAGACUAACUUAUGCGAAAGCAUUUGCCAAGGAUGUUUUCA